rnacentral:rRNA from 1 species
GGGUAGUUUGACUGGGGCGGUCUCCUCCCAAAGAGUAACGGAGGAGCACGAAGGUUGGCUAAGCAUGGUCGGACAUCAUGCGGUUAGUGCAAAGGCAUAAGCCAGCUUGACUGCGAGAGUGACGGCUCGAGCAGGUACGAAAGUAGGUCUUAGUGAUCCGGUGGUUCUGAAUGGAAGGGCCAUCGCUCAACGGAUAAAAGGUACUCCGGGGAUAACAGGCUGAUACCGCCCAAGAGUUCAUAUCGACGGCGGUGUUUGGCACCUCGAUGUCGGCUCAUCACAUCCUGGGGCUGAAGUAGGUCCCAAGGGUACGGCUGUUCGCCGUUUAAAGUGGUACGCGAGCUGGGUUUAGAACGUCGUGAGACAGUUCGGUCCCUAUCUGCCGUGGGCGUUGGAAGAUUGAAAGGGGCUGCUCCUAGUACGAGAGGACCGGAGUGGACGCACCACUGGUGUUCGGGUUGUCAUGCCAAUGGCAUUGCCCGGUAGCUAAGUGCGGAAGAGAUAACCGCUGAAAGCAUCUAAGCGGGAAACUUGCCUUGAGAUGAGUCUUCCCUGACUCUUUAAGAGUCCUAAAGGAACGUUUAAGACUAAGACGUUGAUAGGUUGGGUGUGUAAGCGUAGCGAUACGUUGAGCUAACCAAUACUAAUGAACCGUGAGGCUUAACCUG